GAAUGUCAUAGUUUGGAUUGGAUUCAGGCCAAUUAACCUGUGCUGAGGGACUUGCGCAAGGUAUACCUUCAAAGCAACUACUUCCUAUUUCUACCUCCUUGAGAAAGGCACAAAAUAUCCCCAUCUACAUCCUGUUUUGGUACCAGACUGAUGAAGAAGAAACUAAAAAGAAAGGACAGUUGGCCAACAGAAAAGUGCCAUGGAAGCGACAGAGCCAUGCUCUAAUAGAUCAAGUACAAGGCAGAUGAAGACUUGCUCCAGAUCCUUCACUGUUCAAAGGCUAAGAUGUUCUGAUGACGAGUUUCUAAUAGCUACAGCAGGCAUCCCAAACAGUUUAUUCUCCAGCAGAUUGCAGACGGAUAAAUUCUGACUCUGUCAUGCCACAAUGUUUAGGUGAAAAAACCAUAGGAGGCAAACAGGACCUGAAUAUUCAGAGGACUGGAUGAAUAACACACACAUGGGGGAAUGGUAAUUAACACCCAUGGACAGAGACCCAGUGAACGACGGAGGAUACAGCAGUGCUUAGAGGGAGAAGAUGUAAGUAGAUAGAAAAAUUUAAAUGACAGAUAUGAAUCUCAUUGUGUUUUCCUGGAGAGCACAGCUGCUUGUGGUUCUGAUGUGUCUUAAGGUUUUACUGCUGUGAACAGACACCAUGAACAAGAUCCAAGGAUUUCCAUGGAGCAGAUUGCCAAGUCGGAGCUAAGAAGGCCUUGUCUAACUCAGCUGAAGACCAUACUACCUAACUCUCCAUCUUUUAUUCUCUGACUCCAUAUCUUCAUCAGAAAAUAAACAAACAUUAACA
ensembl:lncRNA LOC102556295 uncharacterized LOC102556295